AUUGAACGCUGGCGGCAGGCCUAACACAUGCAAGUCGAGCGAGCGGCGGACGGGUGAGUAAUGUAUGGGGACUGCCCGAUAGAGGGGGAUAACUAAUGGAAACGGUGGCUAAUACCGCAUAAUAUCGGAAAACCCAAAUGGGAUUAGCUAGUAGGUGGGGUAAGGGCUCACCUAGGAGACGCGCUCUAGCUGGUCUGAGAGGAUGAUCAGCCACCCUGUGACUGAGACACGGCCCAGAAUCCCGGGGAUGCAGCAGUGGGGAAUAUUGCACAAUGGGCGCAAGCCUGAUGCAGCCAUGCCGCGUGUAUGAAGAAGGCCUUAGGGUUGUAAAGUACUUUCAGCGGGGAGGCGUUACCCGCAGAAGAAGCACCGGCUAACUCCGUGCCAGCAGCCGCGGUAAUUC
rnacentral:rRNA from 1 species